AGAGUUUGAUCCUGGCUCAGGACGAACGCUGGCGGCGUGCUUAACACAUGCAAGUCGAACGAGAAUCUACUGAAAGAGUUUUCGGACAAUGGAUGUAGAGGAAAGUGGCGGACGGGUGAGUAACGCGUGAGGAACCUGCCUUGAAGAGGGGGACAACAGUUGGAAACGACUGCUAAUACCGCAUGACGCAUAGAGGUCGCAUGAUCUUUAUGCCAAAGAUUUAUCGCUUCAAGAUGGCCUCGCGUCUGAUUAGCUGGUUGGCGGGGUAACGGCCCACCAAGGCGACGAUCAGUAGCCGGACUGAGAGGUUGAACGGCCACAUUGGGACUGAGAUACGGCCCAGACUCCUACGGGAGGCAGCAGUGGGGAAUAUUGCACAAUGGGCGCAAGCCUGAUGCAGCGACGCCGCGUGCGGGAUGACGGCCUUCGGGUUGUAAACCGCUUUUGAUCGGGAGCAAGCCUUCGGGUGAGUGUACCUUUCGAAUAAGCACCGGCUAACUACGUGCCAGCAGCCGCGGUAAUACGUAGGGUGCAAGCGUUAUCCGGAAUUAUUGGGCGUAAAGGGCUCGUAGGCGGUUCGUCGCGUCCGGUGUGAAAGUCCAUCGCUUAACGGUGGAUCUGCGCCGGGUACGGGCGGGCUGGAGUGCGGUAGGGGAGACUGGAAUUCCCGGUGUAACGGUGGAAUGUGUAGAUAUCGGGAAGAACACCAAUGGCGAAGGCAGGUCUCUGGGCCGUUACUGACGCUGAGGAGCGAAAGCGUGGGGAGCGAACAGGAUUAGAUACCCUGGUAGUCCACGCCGUAAACGGUGGAUGCUGGAUGUGGGGCCCGUUCCACGGGUUCCGUGUCGGAGCUAACGCGUUAAGCAUCCCGCCUGGGGAGUACGGCCGCAAGGCUAAAACUCAAAGAAAUUGACGGGGGCCCGCACAAGCGGCGGAGCAUGCGGAUUAAUUCGAUGCAACGCGAAGAACCUUACCUGGGCUUGACAUGUUCCCGACGACGCCAGAGAUGGCGUUUCCCUUCGGGGCGGGUUCACAGGUGGUGCAUGGUCGUCGUCAGCUCGUGUCGUGAGAUGUUGGGUUAAGUCCCGCAACGAGCGCAACCCU
rnacentral:rRNA from 1 species